GGCCGCUUUGGCGCCCCCUGCUGGAGCAGGAGGGGUCUUCGAGUGGGAGGAGGAGCAGGGCCCCCCCCUGGGGGGGGACCCCCAAUGUGGGUCCCGCUUUACCGUGUCCCCUGCCCCCCCUGAGCCGGAGCGCCCCACAGCGCCCCCCAUCGAGAACUGACCAGAACCCCCCCUCCCCCCA